AUUGAGACUGAGCAUGCCUACCACAAGCAGCUGACCAUCAUUCAAAGCAAGAAGAGGGUACUGCUAAAGGAAACUGGCAAGAAGCAGCUCCUAUGGUACUUACAAGAACAUCGGUCUAGGCUUCAAGAGGUCCAAAGAGACUAUUGAGGGCACCUACAUUGACAAGGAAUGCCUGUUCACUGGUAACGUCUCCAUCUGAGGGCAGAUCCUGUAUGGCAUGGUGACCAAGAUGGAGAUGCAGAGGACCACUGUCAUCCAGAGAAACUAUCUCCACUACAUCCGCAAGUACAAUUGCUUCGAGAAGUACCACAAGAACUUGUCCAUGCACCUGUUCCUCUGCUUCAGGAUGUCCAGAUCAGCGACAUUGUCACGUUGGAUAAGUGCCAGUCCCUGAACAAGACGGUGUACUUCAAUGUGCUCAAGGUCACCAAGGUCGCAGACAUCAAGAAGCAAUUCCAGAAGUUC
rnacentral:lncRNA from 1 species